GCUGCUAUGUAGGAAGUGUGACUGUCCUGCCGCUGCCACGCUGAAAGGUCCAUAUGGAGAGGUCACAUGGAGGGUCAACUGCCUUUUCCAGUCUCCCACUGUUCCUCAACUGGGGAGUGGGGGUCCAGCUUUUGCUUCCUUAAUAGAGGUGUGGCCAUAAACAGAUCUCUUCUCUGGACUUCAGUGGCGCCACCUGUUCGUGAGAGCAGUAACCACCAGCUACAGUCAACUUAGUGUUCAUUGCUCCCAGGCAGAUGGACAUAUUUUACCAUAGAUGCAUGUAUCCAAAAAUAAUAUGGUACUAAUAUACAACUUGCGUGUAUGUGUAUCAGUUAGGAGAACUCAUGGAAUGUAAUC